CUGAAGAUACAGCUCAGCAGUAGAGCAUUUGACUGCAGAUCAAGAGGUCCCUGGUUCAUGUCCAGGUGCCCCCUCUUUUAGG
rnacentral:tRNA from 1 species